CUGUGGUCCCGGUCCGCCCACUCCGCGGCCGCGACCCGACCUGCGGAAUCAUCUCCAGGGCAAGACGGGACCCCGAAGGCGCCCCAGGAGCCCCGCGCACGGAAGGACGCCCUCGACGGGCAAUGCCCAGGGAGCAGGGCGCGUGGUUGUCCCGGACACGGGAGCUGAGGGCAGCCCAAGGAGGAUGCCGGGCCCGCUCUCUGGCCCUGGCCCAGCUCCGUGUGGAUCUCCGUGCCUCGGAGCCUCGCCACCCCGGGCCGCCGUUCUUACGGCGGUUAACGAAACCAGCCUGGGGUGAAGGACACGUCCCUCUACCUGGCCACCUGGGCCAGCAUCGGAGCCCACCGUGUCUCCCCUCCAUCAACUCCGGGGGGCUCAGCCAUCCAUUUCUCUCCAUCCUGGCCCCAGGAGACAUCCUUCCUGUGAAAAUGAGGAAGCCCCGUUAAGUGCUGUUGCAACCCAUCCUGGCGGCCAUACCUAAAACACAACCCAAGAACACAGCAGAUAAAGCAAUGUAGCAAAAGCAGGUGAUUUGCUUUAUUGGCGAAGUCUUAAAUCCUUUUAUAUCCCUUCUGAGAUGUGGUCAGCUCAGAAAAAUCGCAGUUAGAAAUGGAAGAGAGGAUGAAAACUACGGAGAGGGGGAGAACGUUUUGGAGAACGUUUUUUCCAGAACAUUAACUGUGCUUUGGCCAACAGGAGCUAGUUGGUAAAUGAACCUGUUUCCAUGAGCAGUUUUUAUAAAGACAAUGUUUCUCAAGGCUGUCUCAUCAAGCAGAGUUCAGACCUGUCUGGGCACCUUCCGCACUCGCCCGGGUCCCUCCAGCAGGCAGGCACGCCACGGCGCUCACGGCAGGUGGCACUGAGAGGAGAAGGGGGUGCACUGGGGGUUCCAUUCUCUGCUCGGCGUGUUACAUGUGUUCACGUGUUCUCUGUCGCACCGUCACAAUGAGGCUGUGAAGGGGGGGCCUUUACUCCUUUUCCCAGCGAGGGAGCGGAGUCUGCCAAACCCAGGAGGGCUCCACCGGGCAGCAGCAGGAACGCUGUGUGCUCCCGGGUAUGGGGGGCGGGAAAGCACUAGUCCUCUAGUGCCAAGCCCAGAGCUUUGGAUUCUGAUGGCAAUUGAUGAGGGAGGGUUCUGGAAGUUGAGGGCCAAGGGGAUGCCCAGGACUCAGGGCUUCCAGGAGCCCUUCACCAGCUUCCACACUAGACAGACCACCUCUGCUGCUGGGUCACCAUUCCAGCUGCUGAAGCUACC
rnacentral:lncRNA from 1 species